GUGGUGGGGACACCAAGGUGGCACCUGCUGGAACUUGGAGGACCCCAAGGUGGGACCUGGAGGAGAUCUGGGGUCACCAAAGUGGGACCUGGAAAUGGUGGGGGCACCAAGGGGGUCAUAGUGGAAGUUGGAGGUCACCAAGGUGGGACCUGGUGGAUCUGAAGAAGAUUGAGGGGCACCAAGGUGGGACCUGGAGGACCUGGAGAACAUUGAGGGGCACCAAGGUGGGACCUGGAGAAGGUUUGGGGUCACCAAGGUGGGACCUGAUGGACAUUGGGGUCACCAAGGUGGGACCUGGAGAAGGUUUGCGGUCACCAAGGUGGGAAAUGGGAGUGGUGGGGGCACCAAGGUGGGACCUGGAAGAUCUGAAGAAGAUUGAAGGGCACCAAGGUGGCACCUGCUGGAAGUUGGAGGUCACCAAGGUGGG
rnacentral:lncRNA from 1 species